GGAGGUAUAGCUCAGUGGUAGAGCCUGUGCUUAGCAUGCACGAGGUCUAGGGUUCGAUGCCCAGUACUUCCA
rfam:Loxodonta africana unplaced genomic scaffold scaffold_5, whole genome shotgun sequence.